GUUUCAAGACGGGUCAGAUGGAACCAUUUAGUCACCAAGCAAUCCGCAAAUGAGUUCCAGCAAACACGUUCACCCACCCGGAGACAGGCUACCAUGUCCCUGAAGUUUUCCCCAGUUGCGAACUGACGGUGACACACAAGGCAAGAAGCACCGCGCAUGUCCUGUUCAAGACUUACUACAACACUUACGUUGAAGCAGCAAGCAAUCACAUUGACACGCAGCAAUCUCGCCAAGUUACGCUGGUUCCAUUCGCUUCCCUUUCAGCAAUUUCAGGCACUUUUAACUCUCUUUUCAAAGUCCUUUUCACCUUUCCCUCAUGGUACUUGUUUGCUAUCGGUCUCGAAACUAUAUUUAGCUUUAGAUGAAACUUACCACCCGAUUUGCGCUCCAAUCCCGAGGAACGUGACUCUUAGAAGGUACACCGUGCACUGGGGACUGCAGAUGCCAAGCGGGACUCUCACCCUCAUUGAUGCUCUUUUCCAAGAGGCUUACAUCUGCGCCCCAGUUGGUGGUACAUCUCCAGACUACAAUUCAAGGCCACAGGCCCCAAUUUCCAUACUGAGCUCAUCCCUGUUCAUUCGCCAUUACUGAGGGAAUCCUAUUUAGUUUCUUUUCCUCCGCUUACUUAUAUGCUUAAAUUCAGCGGGUUUGCUGA
rnacentral:rRNA from 1 species